CUCAGAAUUGCUGACAGUGCAGACAGACGAGUCUUUGCUGUGGGGGCUGACAUGCAUUCUAGAAUGUUCACUUAGCAGCAUCCCCAUCUUCUGUCACUAGAUUACAGGAACAAUAUGCCUCUACUAUGACAAUCAAAACUACCACCAGACACUGCCAAAUGUCCCUGAGCAGCACAGCCACCACUGCUUGAGAAUGACUGGCUUACAGGAAUUUAAGAAUGGACACAGGUAAAUUCUGUAAUUUAGGAAAAUGUCAAGAAUUAAUUCCUCAUGGGGCAUGGUGGCACAUGCCUCUGAUCCCAACACUCAGGAGGCUGAAGCAGGAGAAUCACCAUGAGUCUGACACCAGCCUGAACCACAUACAUAAUUAAAAAGUUAAUUCCUCUACUACAUCAAACUGAUUUCUUCGAACAAAAUACUGAGAUUUCCCUCUGAUUCCUACAAUUAUUAAGUACAGAAGAUUACAGCAUAAAUUUAAUAAAAAAUCAGGAUAAAGGAUCUACACUAGUUGUAUUCUUCUAGUCAUAAGAGAAUCUACAGAACCUAGCAGGACAAUUGAAAAUGUAUUGCAAACAAAACACUACUAAGUCAACAACAGCUGCAUAGGUGAUGGGUCUGUG
rnacentral:lncRNA from 1 species